GACGAACGCUGGCGGCGUGCUUAACACAUGCAAGUCGAACGAUUAAGAAGAGAAACGCGAACUUCGGUUCAAAUUUCACUUCGGAUUAGUGGCAGACGGUUGAGUAACGCGUGAGCAACCUACCUCUUACAAAUGGAUAGCCUCUGGAAACCGUGAUUAAUACCAUAUGACACAUUCAUAAGGCAUCUUAAGAAUGUUAAAGCUACGGCGGUAAGAGAUGGUCUCGCGUCCCAUUAGCUAGUUGGUGAGGUAACGGCCCACCAAGGCGACGAUGGGUAACCGGGAAGAGAGGGGGAAAGGACACAUUGGAACUGAGACACGGUACAAAAUACUACGGGAGGGAGCAGUGGGGAAUAUAGCAAAAUGGAGGGAACGAUGAUGAAGCGACGACGCGUGAGCGAUGAAGGAAUUCGUUACGUAAAGCUCUGUUAUAUGGGAAGAAAAGGACUGUACCAUAGGAGAAAGCACCGGCUAAAUACGUG
rnacentral:rRNA from 1 species